UACAGAGGUCUCAAGCGUUGUUCGGAUUCAUUGGGCGUAAAGGGUGCGUAGGCGGCGCGGUAAGUCGGGUGUGAAAUCUCGGAGCUUAACUCCGAAACUGCAUUCGAUACUGCCGUGCUUGAGGACUGGAGAGGAGACUGGAAUUUACGGUGUAGCGGUGAAAUGCGUAGAUAUUGGGAAGAACACCUGAGGCGAAGGCGGGUUGCUGGGCUGAUACUGACGCUGAGGCGCGAAAGCCAGGGGAGCAAACGGG
rnacentral:rRNA from 1 species